AGGUGAUUAGCUCAAUAGGUAGAGUAUCUCUCUUACAAGGAGAAGGUCGGCGGUUCAAAUCCGCCAUCACCUA
rfam:Blochmannia floridanus complete genome